rnacentral:rRNA from 1 species
UGAACGCUGGCGGCAUGCCUUACACAUGCAAGUCGAACGGCAGCACGGGAGCAAUCCUGGUGGCGAGUGGCGAACGGGUGAGUAAUACAUCGGAACGUGCCCAGUUGUGGGGGAUAGCCCGGCGAAAGUUCCGGAUUAAUACCGCAUACGACCUACGAGCGAUGAAAGCGGGGGAUCGCAAGACCUCGCGCUAUUGGAGCGGCCGAUGUCGGAUUAGCUAGUUGGUGGGGUAAAAGCCUACCAAGGCUACGAUCCGUAGCUGGUCUGAGAGGACGACCAGCCACACUGGGACUGAGACACGGCCCAGACUCCUACGGGAGGCAGCAGUGGGGAAUUUUGGACAAUGGGCGCAAGCCUGAUCCAGCCAUGCCGCGUGCGGGAAGAAGGCCUUCGGGUUGUAAACCGCUUUUGUCAGGGAAGAAACGGUUUGGGCUAAUACCCCGAACUAAUGACGGUACCUGAAGAAUAAGCACCGGCUAACUACGUGCCAGCAGCCGCGGUAAUACGUAGGGUGCAAGCGUUAAUCGGAAUUACUGGGCGUAAAGCGUGCGCAGGCGGACUUUGCAAGACAGAUGUGAAAUCCCCGGGCUCAACCUGGGAACUGCAUUUGUGACUGCAAGGCUGGAGUGCGGCAGAGGGGGAUGGAAUUCCGCGUGUAGCAGUGAAAUGCGUAGAUAUGCGGAGGAACACCGAUGGCGAAGGCAAUCCCCUGGGCCUGCACUGACGCUCAUGCACGAAAGCGUGGGGAGCAA